AACUUUCAGCAACGGAUCUCUUGGCUCUCGCAUCGAUGAAGAACGCAGCGAAAUGCGAUAAGUAAUGUGAAUUGCAGAAUUCAGUGAAUCAUCGAAUCUUUGAACGCACCUUGCGCCCCUUGGUAUUCCGAGGGGCAUGCCCGUUUGAGUGUCA
rnacentral:rRNA from 1 species